AGUAGGCUUCUUGAAGCCACCAAAAGAGGCCUCCGGUAGCGGCAAGCACUUUCGCGAUGAUGUCCUUGAUGCCAGAGCUAAGAAUGUAAACACCCUGUCCCUCUCUCUCUCUCUCUCUCUCGCUUUGCGUAACAGAAAAUUAGCUCAAAUGCAUUCAAUAUUUGUUUUUUUUCAAGGCAGGGUUUUGAGUUCCGAACUGGAACUAAAAUACAAUUGCAUGUGGCAGUUUUUUAACUAAUUAGAAUCACUUUCAAAAUUCCUUGAAAAUGAAGUUGGGAAAGAAAGCAUGUUGUAGUUUUGAAAAAAUAAAGAGCAAGGCAGGGUUAUUCCAUGGCUGUUAUGGAAACCAAAUUAUUGUUUCAGGAUGGUCAUCUUUGGUUUUUCUUUUCCCCUUUAUUCGAGGUCAGACAGCAGGGGGGAAAAACUUAUUGCAGUGUGUGCUUCAGUGCUUCUUGAUUUGAGCAACUAGCUAUUGAUAAACUCUGCACUUGUGCUGACUAUUAUUGUUGAAUCAUUGUUGUAGGUGUUGACUUAUAGGUGUAAGUUGGUGUUAUAAAUUUUGAUGGAAUGGUUUGAACAUUUCAGGAUUACGAUUUAGUGCAAGUUUAUUUACACCUUCUCCAUACUGCUGUGAUCACUAAGAGGCAGAGGAGGAGUUGCUGUUUUAGUUUCCUCACCCCCCUUAUUUUGGCCCCCCUGAUCAUCUGUAAUCUUUUAACAGGUUUUUCAUGGCCAACCAAUGCCUACUACUAUUCCGGCAGCUCCACAUCCUCUAACAAUGCGUCCUAGGGUGCGGGCUAGAAGAGGACAGGCUACAGACCCACACAGUAUAGCUGAACGGUUGCGCAAAGAAAGAAUAGCAGAAAGAAUCAGGGCUCUACAAGAACUAGUUUCAAGUGUCAACAAGGUAUGUAACUGUUCUAAUGCAGUUUGUGAUCCUCUUUAAUAUUAGCAAUAGUGAAAUAGUACAAAAGGAAAGGAAUAUUGUCUUGUGUAGCCAAAAAAAGUGAGAAAAGAUGGUGUAUUAUGUUGACAUUUAUAGAGAUAUAUCUAUUAUCAUCCCCCACUUUCCUUUCUGGCUUGAAAUUGUAAAUGAUAAUGCUACAUUUUAGUUUAUUAUCAACUUGUGAAUAAGUGUAUUCAUGUCUUUCUCCUAAAACAAAAAUGGGUCUUUUCAUGGUGUGCAUUUGGCCAUUUUGUCCGCAUUGUAGGUAUCGUUCAUUCACUACUUCUUUAGCUCAUCAGAUCUCCACUAACACUAUUGCCUAUCAUAGGUCUUAUCUUUCUUUUUACAAUAUAAAUACUAAAAUAGAUGUUAUUACUUAUAUCAAGGGGUUGGUUUGCUUUUCUAUAUAUGGCCUAAGAAACAAUAUCUUUUACUUUUCCUCCAAUUUUUUGUCUUUCAAUAGGAAGAUUUGAUAGAAAAUACAAUAGAAGGAAGUAGCCAUUUUCAUAGAAAUAUGGAGGAUCUGUAUUCGUUUUAGUCUUCUGGUCUUUUCCCUGUCAAUAUAUUGUUCCAGUAGAUAUGAUAUUUGCAUAUAUAUAUAUAAUGUAAUUUAUGUAGCGAAUUGGCACCUUGAAAAUUAUUUUCAUAUAAAUGAGUAAAUGUGUUCUUUGGAUUUAGAAUAUGGCAUCUGCCUCUGGACCUAUUGAGUUGUCAAAUCAGUUUAAGAUUGUGCUUGUCCGCAACUCCACAUAUAGAUUAAAUCUCCUGAUCCACUUUUCAUGCAAUUGUUUCAUUGAGCAUAAAUAACAAAAACAUGCUUGAAAAGGAUAAAAAGAGGGAUACCAUGCCCACAUAUUU